ensembl:lncRNA
CACACAUUAAGUGGUAAAAAUUAAAUGACUCAGAACCAACAGGCUGUAUGAUUUACAGUGCCUAAAGAACCUUAGCUUAGCAGCCUUCAAAGAGGGAAGCUGAGCAACUAAAACUGUCAUUGCAAGGCACCCACAAACAUGACUAGUGGCAACUACUCCGAAAAGGUUUCUCCAGGCUGUUUUCUUUGGGGUUUCCUCUUGACAUGAGGAAAGAGUCAGCAGUGUGGCAACAAGGGGAGCCUGCUGGCUUGCCAUGGGAAUGACUGUCAGCACAGGGUGUGUGGCAACCACAGCGGUCAGACCCUCUUCAGGCAGCUGCUCUAACCUCCUCAUUGCUGGAGGAGUGAUGGGCAAAACAGUCCCAAAAGCCUGGAAUUUCUGUUUUCCUUCACUAAGCCCCCAGCUGGUUGGCUCAUGCGUUUCUCAAUUACCAGCCAAAGAAAGGGAGAGGGAGAAAGCAAUCUUAUGGAAACAGAUGAAGUCAUGCCUAUAUAAUGUCGUAUUACGGCUCAUGCUUGUGGAGCCAUGAUACAGACAUUGCUGCCCCUAGUCCUGGCAGGGACACCCGGCUUCCCAAUCCUGCUCUUAGCCUUCAACUCAAUCCUUUCCCUCUUCAUGCCAAUGAUGCGUGGGGACAGCGGAGCACCUUCGCAUCUCAUCCCCCUUCUAUACCCCCGUUUGGAUCCCCCACCCUUCCGUCCACUCCCUGCCAUCCCCUGGGGUCUUUGAGUCAUUCACAGCAUGCCACUGAGUGAGUCAGGGGCGAGCCCACAGAUCAUGUGCGAGGCUCCGGCACCACGCGCUCUGCCUAUGGCUCUGCGAAUGCCGGCGAAGUUACACAAGGGAAAUCUAAAGGUAAUUAAAAGCAUAAUGCAAGGGGUUGUUUAGAAAGGGUGGUAGGGAGGAGAGAAUAAAAUUAAAAUAAAUAAAGGAGUGUUUUAACGAGUGCAGCAGUGAAAGCGGGAUUAGAGGGGCCUGAAUGGCAUCUCUAUUUCCCGUAUGGAAAGGAGUGCUGCCCGGUGCAACCAGAGCUGACAAAAAAAAUUAGCUGGGCCUCAGGCUCAGAGAAACAUUUGGCAAGAAAGGAAAGAAGGUAAUUGCUGCAAAUGGAGACUAAUUCAGGAAGCAGCCAGCCCUACACAGGGCCGGUUCUUUUGCAGCUAGUGCUGCGGAUGCUAUGUGAAGUCUGGGCUGAAAAAAACACGCUGAAAUCUUGGAGAAAGGGAAAAAAAAAAAGACAGAAAAUCAACAAGUCUCUCCUUCCCAUGGCUCAUACAUGUUCAGCAUUUUUUUCUCUUCUUCUCACUCCCAAAGGAUGGCAGGGGUCCUAGCCAGCCUUGCCUUCUCCAGUCUGUCUGAUGGCACGGAGGGAGGUAGGCAGCAGCUCCCAGCGCGGGGGCACUUCCCUCUUUCCCCAUUCCCCAGGAGAGGAGUUGGCUAGAAGGUGAGGCAUGGGGCACGGAGGAUAUGUUUACUCUCAUAACACCCCUGCGAGGUGGGGAAGUCAUAGCCUCAUCUGACAGAUGAGGAACAGAGGCAAAGCGAGAUUAAAGGAUUAGCCCAAGGUCACGCAGGAAAAGUUUGUAGCAGAAGUGGAAAUUAAACCCAGGUCUCUUGGUCCAAAAUCAGUGCCUUAAGCACAAGACCAGACUUU